rnacentral:rRNA from 1 species
UACAGGGGGUGCAAACGUUGCUCGGAAUCAUUGGGCGUAAAGCGCACGUAGGCGGUUCGUUAUGUCGGAUGUGAAAGCCCUUGGCUUAACCGAGGAAGUGCAUCCGAAACUGGCGAGCUAGAGUACUAAAGAGGAUCGCGGAAUUCCCGGUGUAGAGGUGAAAUUCGUAGAUAUCGGGAGGAACACCGGUGGCGAAGGCGGCGCACUGGACCAUAACUGACGCUGAGGCGCGAAAGCUAGGGGAGCAAACAGG